CCCCACCCCCCACUGCCGCCCCCACCACCGCCACCACCACCACCGCCACACCAACAACAGCAGGAGCCAGUAGCGUUCUCCACUCAUAUGCUCUGCUUCUCCUGCUGAGCGUCGUCGCACUGUCCUUCACACACAGAGCUUGAGUCCAGAGGAAGCUUGUGGCCUGAAGACAUUUGUGCAGGUUCAACGCACAGAGGAGUGUUCAACUGUAUAAAUGUUCAACUUAACUUAUCGUCUUACGUUUUGCACCUGUGAAAGUUUGAGUUUUAGCUGCAGCAAAAACAAAUGAUAAUACAGAAGGUAGCUGAAGGCAUUUGUGACCAAAUCAUUCUUUAAUUUCCUACCCGUGACUUUGGAAAGUUUUGUUGGUGGUGGAAAAAUGACUAAUUUAUAAAAUGUUUUUAAUGCAUAUAGAUUUAUUAGUUUUUAUAAUUUUAACAUUUACUCUGAAGACACCAUUAUUAUGCUACAUGUUUGUGCUCGCCCUCAUUUAGGAUCAGGCCUUUUUGAAAAUUGCCAGGUCCACAACUCAGGACCCGUGAGGACUCUGCUGUGUGAAUAUUAUUAGAAGCUUGAUUCUCACAAUUUUCUUCUGUAACUAUGGAAACUAAACUACUGUAAAACAGUGCAUUUCUCAGUUCCACCAACCAAACUUGAUGAAAAGUUUCUGAUUUCAUAAGUGGACUCUGAAUUCUGAUUAAAUGUUUUCAAUCCUCAUUUAAAUUGUUUUUUUAAUAAAGGUGAAUAAGUACAAAA